CAGUUGCAGCUCGCUGUUGUCAAGUUUCUGGAGGAGUCGAGGUUCGGAAAUAUUCAGAUUUUGCGGUAAAAUAAAAAAAAAAAAUACUAAAAUAAAAGUUAUAUGUAAUUAACAUGUCAAAGUAAAUAUCCAUAACGGGAGAUUUAAAGAAACCACACUUGGACGAAGAAGACGUGCACGAAACAAGUUAGGAUUUGGCUAACUAGCUUAAAUGAAGCUAAAACCCGCAGGGGACAGCUAGCAUCACGCCCGCAACAACUCAGCCAAGCUCGGCUUUGCCUCCAGCUUAUCAGUGUCAGGCCGAACUCUGUUUUUUUACUGAGGAGCUCAAACACAAAGAAAAUCGGCAAAAUGUCACCUGUUCUUUCAUCACGGAUAUACUUGACAGUUGCCGCCCCCCCCCAAAAAACUUCCGAUGAGAUCUUGCAGCACUUGUCUUCACAACCUCGACUUUACUGCUGCUGGGACGUGAGCUGGCAGAUUCACUGGAUCACGAUGAAAUCAUUCUCCACAUUCAACUCCAAGCCUGCACCUUGUGAUGUAAACUGGAAGCGUCUCCCCCCACAAGCCACCCAUGGUGUCCUCAAACAGAUAGGACCUGAGCCACACGACCUCCUCUCCAGCAUGGAACCUGGAAGAGGACAGACUACACAAACAGACAAACUCAAGCACACAUGUAGGAGAAAGGAACAGACACACACACAGAGGGAGAGAGAGAGACAAGAGGAGAGGCUGAAUCUCCCGGAGGACGAGGAUCCAGAUCCAAAACAUCUGGAGAGAGGCACCGACAGCCAGGAGAGAGAGUGAGGUCCCAGGACUGACAGGAGGCCUGUAUUCUGAGAGCGCAGAGCACGGGGUGGGAUAUAAGGCUUAAGGAGGUCAGAAGAGGCAGAGGGAAACGUGAUUGAUUGAUUGGUCGAUUUCGCCGUCCUCUCUCAAACGGCCAACAAUGACAAGCCAUUUGUGGACAACAUGGCCAAAAUGAAAACUGUACAUUUGCCAGCCAAGCUGUGGUGCCUUCCAGAGAACCCUGAAACCUGAUAGAGAGGCCAAUAUUUUCCUCAUGAAACAGACAACAUGUGCCAACUAAGCCAUCAAAUUACUCAUCAAAUGUUUUGUAUAAUGGCUUCUUUGAGAAUAUAUCAUGUAAGGUUUCACAAGUUCAGCAGUGGUACAUUAUUUUAAUUGACACUUUGAUGUUUGAGAUUUGUGUACACAUAAAAUUAAAAAUAGCACAUGGUUUAAAACAAGCAAGGAUUAUUUUCACAGAUUUCCUAGGUUGAGGUGGUGUGCAAAGGGAGACUGUAAACAGCUCAAAAUCACUGUAAAGGCAAUAAACACAUGGAUGCUCCAGCUACAUCUAGUCAGUGGUGAUCCAUUUUUAAAAUUUACCAGUCUGCAGAUUAUCAAAUGAAAGCCACUAGCAACAUUAUUACUUACUUUCUAUUGUUGCUUACUAUUACAAACACCAGUCCUCUUACAUUUUAAAGUCAGUGUCCCAGUUGCAUGAACCUGUGCUGUAUAGAGAGUGUUUGUAUGGAGAACUGCGGCCAACAUCUACCAGUUAUAGUUUUGGCAUGAAAUGUACGGUGGGGCCAAAAUUGCAUGAUAAUAAAUUCAAACCCUGUAAGGGUGUGUGUGUGUGUGUGUGUGUGGAAGUCAGCACAGAGACUACACACACAAACCACAGAGGAACCACCCUUUUAACAGAGGCUGACUUUAAAGAAUACUCCGCCUGUAAAAGAUUAACUGACUGGUUUAUCUGUAUGGCGGCUACACCCCACCGGUAAUGUAGACUCACACAUGUAGACCUAGGAAUCAUGAGCAUAUGCAAGAAUACACUGCAUAACAAGAAUGUUUUUGUAUAAUUUUGGCUUGACAAAGAGUUUCCACUCAUGUGUGAGGUGUUGUCCAACUUAAGUGGCACUUUGUCAACAGAGCACCGUCCAAUUGUAUGUUUAUAAAACAAGCACAUAAUUAAGCUGACACAAUGUUGAUGGGUGAGCAAUUUAAUCAGUCACAGGCUGUACUUGUACUACAGUAAAUCACCUGCAUCAGUGUUGACAGGCUGCCCAUCCCACAUCCCUACCCAUGUAAACCCUGUCGCACAUGUUUGUGCAUACAGACACGUUUUUAAAGGAGAAAAAAGUAGUUGCUGUUGCUGUGAUGGUGCAGAAUACUCCUGCAUGCUUACAUUUCUGUUGUUUAGUUUUGCUUUCCAAUUUUUCUAGUAUGGAAAGGAAUAACUGGUAAGCUGUACAAUGGAAGUGUCCCAAACAUUUGCUGUCAGUAAUAUUUUAUGGGCUAUGUGCACAAAAUGACCUCAGUUUAAGAGUGGUGCAUUGCAAGUGCAAAGGUUUUCAAACUUUCUACACAAGCAUGGCCUGGGUCUGUUUUUGUUGGGAAUGCUCUGAUCUCCCAGGUGUCCUGACCUACCCACGGUGCACUAUGCACUUCUGCCAAUCUAGAGACAAUCUUUGAGCAUUUGAAAGGUGGAGGUUAGAUUCUGAAAUUUUUUCACAAUCUACAUUUGUUGCCAUUAAAUUUGUACAAUGUGUAAGCGACCAAUGAUGUAGCUGUUAGCCACAGCCAAUGUCGUGGCAGCAUAUUACAUGUCAGCUCACCAAUUCAUUGCUGUAUGUAUUUUACAAACAUCCAACAGUACGCUCAUUGUGCCUUGUCUUCCUAGCUGUUUGUUUGAUCACAAGUUAUAUAUUUUACGUAUACUUACUCACCUUAUUGAGAUGUUGAAUCAUUUGCGAUCAAAGCACAGAGAGCUUCAAAUGCACAUUUCAGAAUAAAAUACAAAACACAAUUUGGUUUUUGAGUAAAUAAAUGAAGCAGUGCCUCUGAUUACAAAAAAGAUAAUGGAUGGCACAAGCCUUUGUACUGUUAUGUAGUAUUUAGUAGCAUCUGCAUGUAUAAUUUGCUUCACAUCCACUCUGGAACCAGUGUGGGACCGUAGUUCACUCAAAUUCAAAAUUUGAACACUCAUUGGUAAUCUGUUCAAAUGAAGCCUGUUCAGCUGGACAGCAUUUCAGUAAGGAACAGAGAAAGUACAUUGCCAGGCUGCUUCACUCAUAUUUCAAAUAUGAGUGUGAGUGUGUGUGUGUUAGUUUGUGUAUUUCAGAGAGUGACACUCGCGCAGAUUGAGACCAAACAGCAUUUAACAAGUUCUGUUCAAACAUUAAUUACUGUCUUGUAUGAGUGUAUCAGAAAAUUGAGUCUGUGCAUCCUCUUGCCUGUGAUAUCACUCCAAUGUGCUGUACUGUUCAAAAUCAACAGAAAAAACAGAAACGUAGAGUGACAUACUAAUUGUGGGUUUCCUAUUCUGUGCCAAUCCUACACCUGUGAGCCAUGUGCAUUUUGGCUGAUCACUUUCAAUUUCUUCCAGUGUUUUUGCCCCAAAGGCAGAUUGACUCACACUUGUUUGAUGGCAAAAAUUAAUGUGAAUCUCUGCCCUAAACAAAUAAAUAAACAGCUAAAGCAAACCUUAUCAUUACUUCUGUUGAGUAGUAGUACAGUGUUUCAUUAUGCCAUAUGGCUACAUUUCAGAGAAAAUCAAAUUUCUCACAAUGACUGAUUUCAUAAGAAACUGGAAGUCCAGCCCUUCCUGUUUCUCAAACAGCGCAUAUCACUUAUACACUUCAUUUUCAAGUCAACAGAUGCCUUUUAGUGAUGAAAAAAAGGAUAACAGGAAACUGCAAGCACCCAAUAUCCUUUGUUGGUUAACAAAAGGAUAAUUUUUACUUUGAUGUAAUUUCCCAUAAAGUUUGACAGAAACAGAAAUUGAAUUUCUGAGCCACCAAGCGAAUGCUGGAUUUUCUUUCAAAUAUUUUGUUACUAUGGGUGGAUUAUCUUCUUAUCUACUGUAUAUCUGUACUCACUUGCUCAUUUUGAAUGUCCACCUUCUUGGUGAUGGCCACCCAGGUUUCUCAUUUAAAAUGCUGAAAAUGUUUGAAUAUGAGAGACCAGUAGCAUUACUUAUUAAAAAAUAUACUGUAUAUAUGCUUUGUCACUUUAGUAGGAUGGAUUGUUAACACUUGCCAACAACACACUGCACUGUAGUUGCUUCUCCAUAACAGUGAAAAUAAGUCUUCGGCCCACCAGAACUUGGCACAGCCUUUAUAUUUCCAUGCUUAUGAGGUGGAGUAUUGCUUUAAACACAUAACAGACAAGAAUUAUGCAAACAUCCCAUUCAUUUUCUAAUGUGAUGUUUUAAGAUCUAUUUCACUGGAAGUGUGUUGUUGUCUUCUUUAAACAGACCACAAGACUAAAUUUCAGAGCACAAAACACUAAAAGCUGUAAU